CCAGACUCCUACGGGAGGCAGCAGUGGGGAAUAUUGCACAAUGGGGGAAACCCUGAUGCAGCGACGCCGCGUGAGUGAGGAAGUAUUUCGGUAUGUAAAGCUCUAUCAGCAGGGAAGAAAAUGACGGUACCUGACUAAGAAGCCCCGGCUAACUACGUGCCGGCAGCCGCGGUAAUACGUAGGGGGCAAGCGUUAUCCGGAUUUACUGGGUGUAAAGGGAGCGUAGACGGCAUGGCAAGUCAGAUGUGAAAGCCCGGGGCUCAACCCCGGGACUGCAUUUGAAACUGUGUGGCUGGAGUGUCGGAGAGGCAGGCGGAAUUCCUAGUGUAGCGGUGAAAUGCGUAGAUAUUAGGAGGAACACCAGUGGCGAAGGCGGCCUGCUGGAGGAUGACUGACGUUGAGGCUCGAAAGCGUGGGGAGCAAACAGGAUUAGAUACCCCAGUAA
rnacentral:rRNA from 1 species